GACGAACGCUGGCGGCGUGCUUAACACAUGCAAGUCGAACGGAAAGGCCCUGCUUUUGUGGGGUGCUCGAGUGGCGAACGGGUGAGUAACACGUGAGUAACCUGCCCUUGACUUUGGGAUAACUUCAGGAAACUGGGGCUAAUACCGGAUAGGAGCUCCUGCUGCAUGGUGGGGGUUGGAAAGUUUCGGCGGUUGGGGAUGGACGCGCGGCUUAUCAGCUUGUUGGUGGGGUAGUGGCUUACCAAGGCUUUGACGGGUAGCCGGCCUGAGAGGGUGACCGGCCACAUUGGGCCUGAGGUACGACCCAGACUCCUGCGGGAGGCAGCAGUGGGGAAUAUUGCACAAUGGGCGGAAGCCUGAUGCAGCAACGCCGCGUGCGGGAUGACGGCCUUCGGGUUGUAAACCGCUUUCGCCUGUGACGAAGCGUGAGUGACGGUACUGGGUAAAGAAGCACCGGCUAACUACGU
rnacentral:rRNA from 1 species